ACAGCCCUGCCCACGGCCUUGGAGGAGGAACCGCUAUUUAAGAAGAAAUGCACAUUUUGCUCGAACCUAACAAUGCUUUGUCAUCUGUAAGGAACACCACACUGGUCGCCACAGCUGCAUUAAAAGAUGUCGUGUUACUUUCAGCACGAGGCAUAAAAUAAAGUCAAAAGUUAGGCAGCGUGAUGCUCGCUCCUCCCGAGAGGCUUGUUCAAGUGAGACAUCUCCCCUCGGAGGUUGACUAGAUCCAAAAGGCAGAGGGGCUGAGAGGAUUCUGAUUUUCGAGCCAUACCUUGUGCCAAGAUGCUGGCAGAAACCUGGAGUCUUAAGACAAUUGUGCUUACGUCUGGCUGUGACCUGGAGACCCAGCUACCCCAACAUCGCUCUCAGGUCCUGGAAUAGUCAAAUUCAUAGACACGAAGGAGAACAUGGGCUUCCCAGGUCGGUGUUUGCCGGGCAGCUUCAGUUUGGGAAGAUGAAGGGACCCGGUGUGGACCAUGGCGACUGCGGCACAGCGGUGACAGGAGCUCGGCACUGCUGACAAAUAGCUGAGGUGGGGACUGCUGUACCCGGUACACUUUCCCGUAGUCUUUAAAGUACUUUAUUAAUUUACUAAAAGACCUUUACACCCACCAGACUGUAAACCCCUGGAGAUGGGGACUCUUGCCUGGCCCGUCGCAGAACACACAGAAGUUGCUUGAACAGAAUCACUGUGUGAAUUAACAGUGAGUGUGUAGUUAGUAAAACCUAAAUCUGAAACCCCUGCACACCAGGGCACCCUCACUGCUGACGGAAGGAAAUGCGUCUCCUGCCCUUGCCCAGGACUUUCAGGGCCAGAUCAGCAGAGGGACCAGCUCAGAGAGACACACCGUGAGGGGCAGGUGGGUCGCAUGCAGGGAAAGCCCCUAAAACGGGCGUGUCCCCUCGUCCGCCCCAGAGCUCAGAACACUGUUGAGAACUCAACAAGGGAGGAAAGCCCUGGGCCCUGCAGUCAGCGCCUGGACCCAUGAGUCUAGCUUGGUGACCUUUUGCAGUGUGUGAGUUUGCCUGUAUCAAACAAAACGGGAGGUCGUGAGGCUGCUCAUGACAAUCUGAUUGAAUAGCGAGCGGAAAAUCAGGCUGUGUGUGGAGCGUCAAAUCUGCGGGGGUAGGUCCCUGUGUGAUUAUAAGGGACGUACUCGGGUGUGGGGGACAUCAGCAUCAACGCAGAGGCUGCUUCUGGGUCCUGGGUGGUAGCGAGGGUGGUGUCCUUCCUCCCACCCUUCUCGGGUGUUUCUGUUCCACAGUGACUGGGAGGAGCUGCGGCCUCACCAGAAAGGUUCACAACACUCAGCCUAUCUCUGGGUUGCAGGCUCCUGUCCCAAAGAGGACGGUGGGCAGCCACCACCCCCGAGUGUCAGGAGGAUGUAAUAAAAUGACGUGCACAGCGCAGAGCACCGUGCCAGGAACCCCACGGUGAAUUGCCAGAAAUGAAGGCGCAGAAAUGCACCGAGGCCUGGAAGGUUCGUGGCAGGGCAGAGGCCAAGGGUCCGGGUAGAGGCAGCCGUGCUGAGGUCAGUACUUUAUCCUGAGAAAUUCAGAAGAGGCAUUGCACCCUAGAUGGGACAUCCCUCUCCCCAAAAAUCUUCCACCAUGCCAGUAGCAGUUAACUAAUUUCCGAUAAGGUGCGACACUGUUCGUGGGGAACUCAGCGGCGCGUGGCCUGCUUGGUGGCAGAAAGCUGCACCUAUCGUCUCAGACUGUCCCAUGACACCCACCUGUGUGCUGUGGAGGGGUGAGGAGGCACAGAAAAGCGUGGAGCUGCGGGCAGGUGUUCUGGCUCCGUUUCUGUCCCCUUGGCCUGUGGUGCUACAGGACAGUGAAGCAAAAACCCAGGAAAAACACCCCCCACUUCCCUGCUGAUACUUUUACAGGGGUGCGCGGGGGCGAGGGAGCGGCCCCUGCAUGUCUCAGAAGCCCCUGGGACUUCCGCACAGAGUUGCUGGAGAUGAUACCAUGCUAUGACCGGCCGCUCAGGGAAGGAGAAACGUUCCCUGAGCCUCUUUCUUUCUUUCUUUCUUUUUUUUUUUUAUUGUUGGGGAUUCAUUGAGGGUACAAUAAGCCAGGUUACACUGAUUGCAAUUGUUAGGUAAAGUCCCUCUUGCAAUCAUGUCUUGCCCCCAUAAAGUGUGACAC